UACGAAGGGGGCUAGCGUUGUUCGGAAUCACUGGGCGUAAAGCGCACGUAGGCGGAUUUGUCAGUCAGGGGUGAAAUCCCGGGGCUCAACCUCGGAACUGCCUUUGAUAUAGCAAGUCUUGAGUUCGAGAGAGGUGGGUGGAAUUCCUAGUGUAGAGGUGAAAUUCGUAGAUAUUAGGAAGAACACCGGUGGCGAAGGCGGCCCACUGGCUCGAUACUGACGCUGAGGUGCGAAAGCGUGGGGAGCAAACAGG
rnacentral:rRNA from 1 species